GCCGGGAUUGGUGGUGCACUUCUGUAAUCCUAGCAGCUUGGAAGGCUGAGACAGGAGAAUCACGAUUUCAAAGCCAGCCUCGGUAAUGGUGAGGUGAUAAGCAACUCAGUGAGACCCUAUCUCUA
rnacentral:sRNA from 1 species